AUAAUUUAUAGCGUAUCUUAGUGGUUAUAUUGAACAGAACAAUAAAAUUUCGCUUGUACGUAAGAAUACCAGAACUGCUUCCUAUUUUAUAAUAUAGUGAAUUAUAUACCAUAUGAAUUGUUGAUCUAUCCUAUAAUAAUUUACAAUUAAGUAUCACUGCAAAUGAACAAUGCAAAAUCCUGAUACCUAUCGUUAACUAAGCUGAAAUAUCAAUUUAAUAAUUAAGUAGUACAUUGUUUAUUUUAGUACUUUAUCGUUGUGAAAUAAUUUCCUUUGCUGGUUAGGUGAAAUUCGAUUAAUCAAAAUUCUAAUAGAUCAUAUAAUCCUUUUCGAGAAAAAAAAAUGGAUUAAUAAUUUUUUUUCUUUUUUGUAAAUUGUUCGUUUGUGGUCAAUGUAAGUCCAAAGUGGUACACCUGGUUGGCUUAAGUUUUGGUGCCUGCAGAAAGGUUUUAAAUAUUUGAUAGUGAUUCGGAAAGAUGCAUAAGACCCACAACAUUCGCUUUUCGUUAAGACCCACAAUUUUAAUGUUUAAUCCCAUUUAAAUUUGGGCCUGUAUUCGUUCUCCCAAGUCCCUAACAUUAUACAUGCUGAAAUGGUUCCAACUUAAGUGCACACUGUUAACCAAAAAAGAAAAAGAAGUGCGGGUUCUUUGAUGAUAAGGUUUGUGGGUCUGUUCUACUUGGUGGAGAGUUUGUUGAGCUUCACUGGAGUGAAUGCUAUGCAUGGAAGGGAAAGUAGUGGACAUGAGGCAGUGAAAGGAAUAAUGAUACUUGGGAAAUCUCACAUUGGAAGGAUUGAUGAUGAUUUUGUCUGUGCGACUCUUGAUUGGUGGCGUCCUCAGAAAUGUGACUAUGGAACAUGUCGCUGGGGUCAUGCUUCUCUUCUCAACCUGGUAUUCUUUCUUUCUUUCUUUGUACUGUGCUAUUUGAAUCUGUCUAAUUAUUAUUCUUUUUUCCGCUUAAAUUUUUCACUGCUGCAAAUUAUUCCAACAUAAUGAUAACUAAAGAUUGUUUCUGCUGCUGUGUUAUACCUUCUUUUUUCUUGAGCUCUGAAUAUCAUUCUGUGAUAAUAUUCUUUUUUCCCAUUUAUGGAAUGAUGCUGUAGUGACUUCUCAGACUAACAUUCAUACAUUUAGAAUCUGUAUGUAGCAUAAAAGUGAGAGCGAGGAAUUUACACCUUUUAAUUUUCAUUUCUUGCGGGACCUCAACAACAAAAUAUUGUUAAACGCAGUAAAAGGUAAGAAAGAAUAGACAUCUCUAUAAUAUUCACAAGAAGUUACCUCUUCUUUCUUUUAUUCAUAUGGGGACCACCUUUUUCCUAGGAGCUUAUUAAGGAUCAUUACUUCUGAAUAUUAGGGUAGGGGGCACCUUGUAAGAUAAGGUCAUAUAUGGGACUGAAGAAAGUGCAAAACCAUGUACUCCUUUUGUUUAACAGCUCCUCUAAGUUACUUGGAUUCACUGAAGGAUGCUUACCAAUGCAUAGAUGGAUGAGCUAAACAGCUUUUUCCAAAAUGCAGGGGCUAAUGUUAUCUUUGGAUUGAAUGCUCUUGCUGGAAGAACCAUACAAUCUGGUUCUGCAAUUGGACCAUGGAACUUCAAUGCCGAAUCUUUUAUCCGUUACACUGUAAGAAAGAAUUACAGCAUUGCUGGUUGGGAAUUUGGUGAGUGUAUGCUCCUUCAUUACAUAUAUGCCAAAGUAGCAAGCAUCAGUGUAAUUGAUUCAAUAAGACUAAAAUUAAAAAUGAUCUUUGUCACAUAGCAGGAUUUCACAUUGAGUUUCUAACACAAACAUUGCAAGUCUUUCAAGUACUUUUUGCAAAACAAAAAUAGCAUGUCUCCCUCAAUAGAAUUAAUUGUAUAAAUGAAUUCCUUCUUGCUUGUGCAGGCAAUGAAUUGUGUGGGAGUGGAGUUGGAACAAGUGUUUCUGCAAAUCAAUAUGCUUCUGAUAUUGCUGCUUUAAGAAACAUAAUUCAUGAUGUAUAUAGAGGGAUUAGGCAUAUGCCACUGGUCAUUUCUCCAGGUGGCUUCUAUGAUGCAAAUUGGUUCCAGGAAUUUGUAAACAAAUCUGGUAAAUCUGUUGAUGUGGUAUCUCAUCACACAUAUAACCUUGGACCAGGUAUCAUCCACCAAAUAGGAAUACUAAUGUUAUAAUAUUUGACCAAUGUUUAUGAAUUUUGGUUAUAACAAAAGCUACUACUUUAUCUUACAUGAUGAGCACCUAAUUGAAAAAAUUCUUGAUCCAUCAUAUCUUGAUGAGUGGCUAGCACAUUCAGUGGCCUCAAAAACAUACUUCAAAAAUCAGCAACCAAAGCAAAAGCAUGGGUUGGUGAGGCAGGAGGGGCUUACAACAGUGGCCACCAUCUUGUGUCUGAUGCAUUUGUCUACAGCUUCUGGUAUUUGGAUUCAGCUUGGAAUGUCAGCUGUUUAUGACACCAGAACAUACUGCAGACAGAGUUUGGUUGGAGGAAACUAUGGUUUACUAAACACUACUACUUUUGUGCCAAAUCCAGAUUAUUAUAGGUACCCUACCCUAAGCAGCACA